GAUGAACGCUGGCGGCGUGCCUAAUACAUGCAAGUCGAGCGAACGGACGAGAAGCUUGCUUCUCUGAUGUUAGCGGCGGACGGGUGAGUAACACGUGGAUAACCUACCUAUAAGACUGGGAUAACUUCGGGAAACCGUAGCUAAUACCGGAUAAUAUUUUGAACCGCAUGGUUCAAAAGUGAAAGACGGUCUUGCUGUCACUUAUAGAUGGAUCCGCGCUGCAUUAGCUAGUUGGUAAGGUAACGGCUUACCAAGGCAACGAUGCAUAGCCGACCUGAGAGGGUGAUCGGCACCACUGGAACUGAGAACCGGUCCGGACUCCUAGGGGAGGCAGAGGGAGGGAAUCUUCGGCAAUGGGCGAAAGCCUGACGGAGCAACGCCGCGGGGGUGAUGAAGGUCUUCGGAUCGUAAAACUCUGUUAUUAGGGAAGAACAUAUGUGUAAGUAACUGUGCACAUCUUGACGGUACCUAAUAAGAAAGCCACGGCUAACUACGU
rnacentral:rRNA from 1 species